UUUGUUCCAGUCUGUCUCGGUCUGCAGUAGAUGCUAGAGGAAAGACACCACCCUCCUCUGUGUUUGGGGUACAACACUAGAGACUGGACCGAUGAAGUCAGAGGGGUGAUCUUCAUGUAAAUUGAUUUGGUAUGGAACUCAAGACUGGAUUUUCCUCUCACACCAGAAGUACCUUAUUUUAAAGAGACACACUGGAGCUCAAAAUGGAGUUGGUAACUUAAACUGAUGAUCAUUUAAAUAAAAAAUUAGGUGAC